rnacentral:rRNA from 1 species
CCUACGGGAGACAGCAGUGGGGAAUAUUGCGCAAUGGGCGAAAGCCUGACGCAGCGACGCCGCGUGAGGGAUGAAGGUCUUCGGAUCGUAAAACUCUGUCAGCAGGGAAGAACAGUCACUGUCCUAAGCAGCAUUGCAUUGACGGUACCUACAAAGAAAGCACCGGCUAACUCCGUGCCAGCAGCCGCGGUAAUACGGAGGGUGCGAGCGUUAAUCGGAAUUACUGGGCGUAAAGCGCUCGUAUGCGGUAUGUCAAGUCAAGGGUGAAAUCCCCGGGCUCAACGUGGGAACUGCCGUUGAAACUGGAAAACUGGAGUGUGUGAGAGGAUAGUGGAAUUCCAGGUGUAGGAGUGAAAUCCGUAGAUAUCUGGAGGAACAUCAGUGGCGAAGGCGACUAUCUGGCACAUAACUGACGCUGAGGAGCGAAAGCGUGGGUAGCAAACAGGAUUAGAUACCCUAGUAGUC